rnacentral:rRNA from 1 species
AUUGAACGCUGGCGGCCGGCUUAACACAUGCACGUCGAACGAGUGGCGGACGGGUGAGUAAUGCUUGGGAAUCUAGCUUAUGGAGGGGGAUAACUACGGGACACUGUAGCUAAUACCGCGUACCCUAGGAUGAGCCCAAGUGGGAUUAGGUAUUUGGUGAGGUAAAGGCUCACCAAGCCAUCGAGCUCUAGCUGGUCUGAGAGGAUGACCAGCCAAGCUGGGACUGAGACACGGCCCAGACGCCUACGGGAGUCAGCAGUGGGGAAUAUUGCGCAAUGGGGGCAACCUGACGCAGCCAUGCCGCGUGAAUGAAGAGGGCCUGCGGGUUGUAAAGUUCUUUCGGUAGCGAGGCGUUAACUACAGAAGAGGCACCGGCUAACUCCGUGCCAGCAGCCGCGGUAAUAC